UGGGGAAUAUUGGACAAUGGGCGAAAGCCUGAUCCAGCAAUGCCGUGUGAGUGAUGAAGGCCCUUGGGUUGUAAAGCUCUGUCAGGAGGGACGAAAAGCCCCGUAAGGGGAAUUGACGGUACCUCCAAAGGAAGCACCGGCUAACUCCGUGCCAGCAGCCGCGGUAAUACGGAGGGUGCAAGCGUUGUUCGGAAUUACUGGGCGUAAAGAGCGUGUAGGCGGUUUGUUAAGUCGGAUGUGAAAUCCCUCGGCUCAACCGAGGACGUGCAUCCGAAACUGGCAAACUAGAGUAUCGGAGGGGGUGGCGGAAUUCCUGGUGUAGAGGUGAAAUUCGUAGAUAUCAGGAGGAACACCUGUGGCGAAGGCGGCCACCUGGAAGAUAACUGACGCUGAGACGCGAAAGCGUGGGGAGCAAACAGG
rnacentral:rRNA from 1 species